UAGGCGGAGGGUGCAAGCUGUUAUCCGGAUUCACUGGGUUUAAAGGGUGCGUAGGAGGGCAGGGAAGUCAGUGGUGAAAUCUCCGGGCUUAACUCGGAAACUGCCGUUGAUACUCUCUGUCUUGAAUCCCGUGGAGGUGAGCGGAAUAUGUCAUGUAGCGGUGAAAUGCUUAGAUAUGACAUAGAACACCAAAUUGCGAAGGCCAGCUCGCG
rnacentral:rRNA from 1 species